UACAGAGGUGGCAAGCGUUGUUCGGAAUUACUGGGCGUAAAGGGCGUGUAGGCGGCUUUUUAAGUCAGACGUGAAAUCCCCCGGCUUAACCUGGGAACUGCGUCUGAUACUGGAUGGCUUGAGUUCGGGAGAGGGAUGCGGAAUUCCAGGUGUAGCGGUGAAAUGCGUAGAUAUCUGGAGGAACACCGGUGGCGAAGGCGGCAUCCUGGACCGACACUGACACUGAGGAGCGAAAGCCAGGGGAGCAAACGGG
rnacentral:rRNA from 1 species